CUGGGUGUGUGGCUCAGGGGUAGAGCACUUGCCUAGCAUGCAGGAGGCCCCGGGUUUGAUCCCUGGUACUGAGG
rnacentral:tRNA from 1 species